rnacentral:rRNA from 1 species
GAAUCUAGCUUCAGGUCGGGGAUAACUACUGGAAACGGUGGCUAAUACCGGAUGUGCCGAGAGGUGAAAGGUUAACUGCCUGAAGAUGAGCUCGCGUCUGAUUAGCUAGUUGGUGUGGUAAGAGCGCACCAAGGCGUCGAUCAGUAGCUGGUCUGAGAGGAUGAUCAGCCACACUGGGACUGAGACACGGCCCAGACUCCUACGGGAGGCAGCAGUGGGGAAUUUUCCGCAAUGGGCGAAAGCCUGACGGAGCAAUACCGCGUGAGGGAGGAAGGCUCUUGGGUUGUAAACCUCUUUUCUCAAGGAAUAACAAAAUGAAGGUACUUGAGGAAUAAGCAUCGGCUAACUCCGUGCCAGCAGCCGCGGUAAUACGGAGGAUGCAAGCGUUAUCCGGAAUGAUUGGGCGUAAAGCGUCCGCAGGUGGCGAUGUAAGUCUGCUGUUAAAGAGUGAGGCUUAACCUCAUAAAAGCAGUGGAAACUACAUAGCUAGAGUACGUUCGGGGCAGAGGGAAUUCCUGGUGUAGCGGUGAAAUGCGUAGAGAUCAGGAAGAACACCGGUGGCGAAGGCGCUCUGCUAGGCCGUAACUGACACUGAGGGACGAAAGCUAGGGGAGCGAAU